UUUUUUAUAAAUCAAAUUAUAUGAAUCCGAUUGAGGUGUGAAAUACAAAAUUAAUUGAAAGAACUUCAAAAAAUAUAUGGAAAACUAAAUUUAAUUUGUGAUGUCAUACAAAAUCAAUACAGUUGGCAUGCUCAUUCUUACAAUCAACUAUGCUAGAAUGAUUAAGUUGGUAGCCUAAGGAAUGGAACAAACGUACCACGCUACCAUACUUAGAUUUUAGACAAAAAUAAAAAUAGGGGAUGGUAAUAUACGGGUGUGAAAGUUGCGUAGGCAAUUUUCUAUCAGAGGACUAUCAAUUCUUUGAUAGUUUCAAGCUAAUAGUGUCGUUUGGCACUUGGGAGCCUUUGAUCUAGGCGGGAUACCUCUAUGUUGAGGUUGAGAGUGUUUGCUUCGAGUGCUAGGUAUUUUUAAAUAUUUGUCGUUGUUGACCAAUAUGAAAAUACUUCGACAUCACAAGCUGCUACUCCGCAAACUAAGAACCUCUCCCAUAUAGUGAUAGAUGUUAUCGUCAAAUUAUAAUUUCAUCUUCCUGAAGCCUUCCAUCCCAUUUCAAAUCGAACACUUGAUAACUUUGAACUCAACAUCUGUUGGAAAGAACAAACCCACAUCAAAUUUUUAAUUUUUAGUCACCAUCAAAAACAGAAAACUUAAUUAGAAAAUACCUAAAUCUGCAAUCUCGUUGCCUUCCAUCUCUUGGUGGAUCUACAAAAGCCUAGAAAGAGUUUAGCCAAAUAAGCUGCUGACUCUAAGGGCAAAAGGCUUUAGGAUGAACGUUGGAAGAAAUGGGGAAUGAAAGAUUCAAAAAAUUGAUAGAUGAAUAAAGAAUAAAAGGGUAUUUGCAUAUUUAUAGAUAGACGACAAUUUUUAACGCUCGUUAAUUAAUUUUUUCUUAAUUACUUACCAAAAAUUAGAUUUCCAUAAAAUAAAUCAAUUAAUAAAAUAAUAUCC
rnacentral:lncRNA from 1 species